UACGAAGGGGACUAGCGUUGUUCGGAAUUACUGGGCGUAAAGCGCACGUAGGCGGAUUUGUAAGUCAGGGGUGAAAUCCCGGGGCUCAACCUCGGAACUGCCUUUGAUACUGCAAUCUCGAGUCCGAUAGAGGUGGGUGGAAUUCCUAGUGUAGAGGUGAAAUUCGUAGAUAUUAGGAAGAACACCGGUGGCGAAGGCGGGUCCA
rnacentral:rRNA from 1 species